rnacentral:rRNA from 1 species
CUAGAGGAAGUAAAAGUCGUAACAAGGUCUCCGUAGGUGAACCUGCGGAGGGAUCAUUACAGAGUUCUCGCCCUCACGGGUAGAUCUCCCACCCAAUGUUAUCGUUACCACUGUUUCUUUGGCGGGCCGCCGGGCCCUGCUCGGCCGCCGGCUUCGGCUGGCGCGCGCCCGCCAGAGGCCCUUUAAACCCUGAAUGUCAGUGUCGUCUGAGUACUAUACAAUAGUUAAAACUUUCAACAACGGAUCUCUUGGUUCUGGCAUCGAUGAAGAACGCAGCGAAAUGCGAUAAGUAAUGCGAAUUGCAGAAUUCAGUGAGUCAUCGAAUCUUUGAACGCACAUUGCGCCCUGUGGUAUUCCGCAGGGCAUGCCUGUUCGAGCGUCAUUUCAACCCUCAAGCUCUGCUUGGUGUUGGGCCAUGCCCAUUGCGGCCGGCCUCAAAAUCAGUGGCGGCGCCAUCUGGCUCUAAGCGUAGUACAUCUCUCGCUCUAGGGUCCGGUGGUGGCUUGCCAUAACCCCAACUUCUAUGGUUGACCUCGGAUCAGGUAGGGAUACCCGCUGAACUUAAGCAUAUCAAUAAGCG